rnacentral:pre_miRNA from 10 species
AAAAUGGCAUGACAGGCCUUCUCUUUCCAGUUCUUCCCAGAAUUGGGAAAAGCUGGGUUGAGAGGGUAAGAAAAGAAAAACA